rnacentral:rRNA from 1 species
UACGGGGGGGGCAAGCGUUGUUCGGAGUUACUGGGCGUAAAGGGCUCGUAGGUGGCCAACUAAGUCAGACGUGAAAUCCCUCGGCUUAACCGGGGAACUGCAUCUGAUACUGGAUGGCUUGAGAUUGGGAGAGGGAUGCGGAAUUCCAGGUGUAGCGGUGAAAUGCGUAGAUAUCUGGAGGAACACCGGUGGCGAAGGCGGCAUCCUGGACCAACACUGACGCUGAGGAGCGAAAGCCAGGGGAGCAAACGGG